rnacentral:rRNA from 1 species
CGCACGGGUGAGUAACGCGUGGAUAAUCUGCCUUGGAGUGGGGGAUAACUAGUCGAAAGAUUAGCUAAUACCGCAUAAGACCACAGGAGCUGCGGCUCUAGGGGUCAAAGGUUUUUCGUUCCAAGAUGAGUCCGCGUAAGAUUAGCUAGUUGGUGAGGUAAUGGCUCACCAAGGCGACGAUCUUUAACUGGUCUGAGAGGAUGAUCAGUCACACUGGAACUGAGACACGGUCCAGACUCCUACGGGAGGCAGCAGUAGGGAAUAUUGCACAAUGGAGGAAACUCUGAUGCAGCGACGCCGCGUGAGUGAUGAAGGCCUUCGGGUCGUAAAGCUCUGUCGCAGGGGAAUAACACAAUGAAUGUACCCUGUAAGAAAGGAUCGGCUAACUUCGUGCCAGCAGCCGCGGUAAGACGAGGGAUCCUAGCGUUGUUCGGAAUUAUUGGGCGUAAAGCGGAUGUAGGUGGCUUUGUAAGUCAGAUGUGAAAGCCCAGGGCUCAACCCUGGAAGUGCAUUUGAUACUGCGAAGCUUGAGUGUCGGAGAGGUUACUAGAAUUGUUGGUGUAGUGGUGAAAUACGUAGAUAUCAACAGGAAUACCGGAGGCGAAGGCGGGUAACUGGCCGAACACUGACACUGAGAUCCGAAAGCGUGGGGAUCAAACAGGAUUAGAUACCCUGGUAGUCCACGCCGUAAACGAUGGAUACUUGUUGUUAGAGGUAUUGACCCCUUCAGUGACG